CCAAAAUUCGAGCAUUCACGAGAGCAACAGAACGCGUCCAGCAUGAAGCAGUGGCUAACAUUAUUCGGUUUCAUUCUCAUCCUUACACAAACAGUGUCUAUACCAUUGAAGGACGAGCUGUCGAUCGAUGGCGGAUCGAAAGGAAGCAAAAAAAUACUGCUACUCCAGUUAUCUAAACCAGAAAAUGAUGGAACAACCAGCAAACGCGUAGCUCGUCAAGGGUUUGCAGCUGAUUUUAAUUAUGACUUUGAUUUCGGCCAUUUCCUGAAUAAUUUGGAAAGAGCAAAUGACCUCAUGGAUAAAAUGUUGAGUAAAUGAUCACAUUUCACUUUUAAACUGAAAAUUAGUUACCUUCGCUGUUUUAUGUUACGAGAAGUAAUAUAUUUUUUUGUUGUAAAUAAAUAUCAAUAUGAAAAAGGACAUAUAAACAUAUAACGAACACA